rfam:Tropilaelaps mercedesae isolate Wuxi-XJTLT scaffold0000021798, whole genome shotgun sequence.
ACAACGGCCCUUUUCAGGGCCACCAAAUUUUAUAAGAUCAGGCAUUU